AGAAGAGGUAAUAGUUUCUUUUUAAAAUUCUAUUUUCAUUCUUAGCAAAGUCCCUCAGUUCCUCAGUUGUCAUCUCUAGUUUGAGGUUUUAUUUCCUAGAGGACUUCAAAUCUUUUUUUUUUCUUUUUUUUUAGAUGGAGUCUGGCUCUGUCGCCAGGCCAGAGUGCAGUGGCAGGAUCUCGGCUCACUGCAAUCUCCACCUCCCAGGUUCAAGCGAUUCUCCUGCCUCAGCCUCCCGAGUAGCUAGGACUACAGACCGUGCCACUAUGCCCAGGAUCCCAACCGAUAUACUGAUUACGUUGUGAUAGCAUGUCUCCUUAGGCUGCUCUCGGCUUUGGUAAUUUCUCAGCUUUUCCUUGUUUAGGAUGACCUUGACAGUUUUGAGGAGUACUGGUCCGUUGUUUUUGUCUUUCUAUUGGGAUAAGUUCGAUGUUUUCCUGAUAAUUAGACUGGGGUAGAGGUGUUUGGGAGGAAGACCACAGAGGUAAACUGACAUUCUCAUCAGAUUAUAUAAUGGGUACAUUCUAUCAAAAUUACAUGUCAGUGUUGAUAUUGACCUUGAUCACCUACCUCAGACAGUAUUUGUCAGUAAAUACAUGAGGUUAUCAAUAUCCUAAAUACCUUGACUUGAUCAUUACACAUUCUAUUCAUGGAAGAAAAUAUUAUAUGUACCCCAUAAAUAGGUACAAAUAUUAUAUAUCAAUACAAAAAAUAAAAUUUUUUAAAAUAAUGUUACUUCCCUUCCCCUUUCCAUGCUGUACUCUUUGAAAGUAAGUUACUAUGUGUAGACCAUGUUAAAGAAGUGAGGAGUUAUGUUCUGCUUUCUGAAAGUGGAAUAUCUACAUAAAUUAUUUGGAAUAUUUCAUAAAUUAUUUGGAAUAUUUACAAGAGAUUUGUCUUCACUUUCCCAUUGAUUUAUUCAAUUAUUUGCUUAUAUAUACUCAAAUAUUUGCUUAUAUUUCUAUGUAGUCUCAAUAGUUAUUUUACACAUUUAUUUCUACAUUGAGUUAUAAUCCAAUAGUGCUUUAAUUUUUCAGAAAGUUUUCCAGCUUUGGCCUUUGGAAAUUCUUUUAGUUGACUCCUGUGUCUUUUUUUAUACCUCCAUUUUUGUGCUUACUUUUGUUGAAUUGAUUUUAUUUUCAACAUUUAUCAAAUUUUAUUGCAUUACAAGAUGCCUCAGUACUAUCUUCUGUAUCUCCUGCCCCAGUCCUAGAAGCAGCCAUUUCUAUAAGCAGCCAUAACUCCUUCUAUUGAACAAUUAUAUUAGAAACUA
rnacentral:lncRNA from 10 species